UUGGCGUCACUGGAGUUAAGAAGAGAACUCUUCCCGGGGCUCCCGGCAACAUCUCCGGGCUCGCUUGCAUUGCCGCUGCUUCGCCCGGCCACCGGCUUCGACGACGGACGCACUGCUAGGAGCACGCUGCGUUCCCGCCGACGGACGGGCACUCUCCGAGUUCG